rnacentral:rRNA from 1 species
AACGAACGCUGGCGGCAGGCUUAACACAUGCAAGUCGAGCGAGAUCUUCGGAUCUAGCGGCGGACGGGUGAGUAACGCGUGGGAACGUGCCCUUUUCUACGGGAUAGCCUCGGGAAACUGAGAGUAAUACCGUAUACGCGCAGGAAUGGGGAAAGAUUUAUCGGAGAAGGAUCGACCCGCGUUAGAUUAGGUAGUUGGUGGGGUAAUUGCCUACCAAGCCGACGAUCUAUAGCUGGUUUGAGAGGAUGAUCAGCCACACUGGGACUGAGACACGGCCCAGACUCCUACGGGAGGCAGCAGUGGGGAAUCUUAGACAAUGGGGGCAACCCUGAUCUAGCCAUGCCGCGUGAGUGAUGAAGGCCUUAGGGUUGUAAAGCUCUUUCAGCGGGGAAGAUAAUGACGGUACCAGCAGAAGAAGCCCCGGCUAACUCCGUGCCAGCCGCCGCGGUAA